rnacentral:lncRNA from 1 species
CAAUCCCACUCCCACAACAGCUGUAUUCAUAUAGAGGACAGCUUUUGCCAGAUGAUAGUAAGGCUUGUGCAUGUUUGAGAAUUACCCUCGUUUAUACUACAGCUGGAAAAACCUGCAAUACAGGAAACCUGAAUGCGGCCAAGACAAUUAACCAGCAGCUUCCCCACAAAGCUUCUAUGUUACAACUUCUCAAUAGGAGCGUUGGUAACGCGACAAACAUAGCUCUAUCUUGGCAAUUUUUUUUUUAUUUUUUUUUUUUAAUUUUUUUUAAAUUCAUUUAUUCUUUCACUCAGUUUUAAGUGUUUUUGAAGAGACCCAAUAUUCUCUUUGUCUAUCCAAAUCGUUUGCUUGGUGAAGUAACUAAUUAAUUAAGCAUAGAGGAUUAGAGCGUUUCCAGUUGAGACAUAAAUCUUGGAAUAGAGCCUAUGUUAAUUGGCAUAAAACUUUAUUGCACUUCCCGAAUGAGAAAGUUUAUGAAUUAAAAUACCGUUUGUCUGUUUUCC